rnacentral:rRNA from 1 species
AUACGAAGGGUGCAAGCGUUAAUCGGAAUUACUGGGCGUAAAGCGCGCGUAGGUGGUUCAGCAAGUUGGAUGUGAAAGCCCCGGGCUCAACCUGGGAACUGCAUCCAAAACUACUGAGCUAGAGUACGGUAGAGGGUGGUGGAAUUUCCUGUGUAGCGGUGAAAUGCGUAGAUAUAGGAAGGAACACCAGUGGCGAAGGCGACCACCUGGACUGAUACUGACACUGAGGUGCGAAAGUGUGGGGAGCAAACAGGAUUAGAUACCCUGGUAGUCCACGCCGUAAACGAUGUCAACUAGCUGUUGGGUUCCUUGAGAACUUAGUAGCGAAGCUAACGCGAUAAGUUGACCGCCUGGGGAGUACGGCCGCAAGGUUAAAACUCAAAUGAAUUGACGGGG